UACGUAGGGGCGAGCGUUGUCCGGAAUGAUUGGGCGUAAAGGGCGCGUAGGCGGCUGUGUAAGUCAGUAGUGGAAGUCCAGCUUUUAAGGUUGGAAGUGCUAUUGAAACUGUGCAGCUUGAGUGCAGGAGAGGAGAGUGGAAUUCCUAGUGUAGCGGUGAAAUGCGUAGAUAUUAGGAGGAACACCAGUGGCGAAGGCGACUCUCUGGACUGCAACUGACGCUGAGGCACGAAAGCGUGGGUAGCGAACAGGAUUAGA
rnacentral:rRNA from 1 species